GCGGGUAUAGCUCAGUCCGGUAGAGAGCAGCCGCCUCCAAAGCGGUGAGCCGGGGGUUCGAUUCCCUCUACCCGUG
rnacentral:tRNA from 1 species